CACGUAGGCACCAAGCGUUGUCCGGAUUUAUUGGGCGUAAAGAGCUCGUAGGCGGUUCGAUAAGUCGGGUGUGAAAACUUUGGGCUUAACCCAAAGCGUGCAUUCGAUACUGUUGUGACUAGAGUUCGGUAGGGGAGUGGGGAAUUCCUAGUGUAGCGGUGAAAUGCGCAGAUAUUAGGAGGAACACCGGUGGCGAAGGCGCCACUCUGGGCCGAAACUGACGCUGAGGAGCGAAAGCGUGGGGAGCAAACA
rnacentral:rRNA from 1 species